CGAGAGGCCGGCUGGCCACCCGCCUCCCUUCGGCUGGUCGGCGGGCAGGGCUGAGCCCGUGCCGAGCAAUGAGCUCCCUGUGGGCGGCCCCAGCCAGGUACAUGUGACAGCAUUGCAGCUAUGAGUGGAAUUUUAAAGAGGAAGUUUGAAGAAGUUGACGGCUCCUCACCCUGCUCUUCUGUACAGGAAUCAGACAAUGAAGUUUCUAGCAGUAAAAGUGCUGAUAGUGCCAAUAGUGUCUGUCCAUCCACUUCGAAUCAUUUGACCCGAAAAAUUAAGGAAGUAUCUACGGACUGAAAACAUGGUUUCAGCAGCCUAAAAUCUCCUGAGAGAAACCUGGAGUUCUUUGAGAU